rnacentral:rRNA from 1 species
CCUACGGGUGGCAGCAGUGGGGAAUAUUGGACAAUGGGCGAAAGCCUGAUCCAGCCAUGCCGCGUGUGUGAAGAAGGCCUUCGGGUUGUAAAGCACUUUCAGUGGGGAAGAAAGCCUUGGGGCUAAUACCCUCGAGGAAGGACAUCACCCACAGAAGAAGCACCGGCUAACUCCGUGCCAGCAGCCGCGGUAAUACGGAGGGUGCGAGCGUUAAUCGGAAUUACUGGGCGCAAAGCGCGCGUAGGCGGUCUGAUAAGCCGGUUGUGAAAGCCCCGGGCUCAACCUGGGAACGGCAUCCGGAACUGUCAGGCUAGAGUGCAGGAGAGGAAGGUAGAAUUCCCGGUGUAGCGGUGAAAUGCGUAGAGAUCGGGAGGAAUACCAGUGGCGAAGGCGGCCUUCUGGACUGACACUGACGCUGAGGUGCGAAAGCGUGGGUAGCAAACAGGAUUAGAUACCCCCAGUAGUC